rnacentral:misc_RNA from 1 species
AAUGAAUAUGGUUUUGUGGCUUGCCCAUGGAAUUUCUCCCAGUAUGCUGACAUUAGAAUAAGCAGUUUCUAAGGUUUUAGAGACAGGCUAGCAUCUGUGCAUGUUAAUACGCAUCCAUGUGAGUUAUCUAGGAGUAUAUUGGUGGUCUUUGGCUAGGUUGGGAAUUGGGAUAAAUCUAUGAAACAUUUUGGACUCGAAUAAUAUCUAUGCCUCAAAGUGAUAUUUGUG